UAGCGUAUAUUAAAGUUGUUGCAGUUAGAACGCUCGUAGUCGGAUUUCGGGGCAGUCCGACCGGUCUGCCGAUGGGUAUGCACUGGCCGGAGUGUCCUUUUUGCCGGAGACCGUGCCUACUCUUAACUGAGCGGGGGCGGGAGACGGCACUUUUACUUUGAAAAAAUCAGAGUGUUUCAAGCAGGCAGUGCGCUCUUGCAUGGAUUAGCAUGGGAUAAUGAAAUAGGACUUUGGUGCUAUUUUGUUGGUUUCGAACACCGAAGUAAUGAUUAAAAGGGACAGUCAGGGGCACUCGUAUUCCGCCGAGAGAGGUGAAAUUCUCAGACCAGCGGAAGACGAACCACUGCGAAAGCAUUUG
rnacentral:rRNA from 1 species